rnacentral:rRNA from 1 species
AGUGAACGCUGGCGGUAUGCCUAACACAUGCAAGUCGAACGGCAGCACAGUAAGAGCUUGCUCUUACGGGUGGCGAGUGGCGGACGGGUGAGGAAUACAUCGGAAUCUACUUUUUCGUGGGGGAUAACGUAGGGAAACUUACGCCAAUACCGCAUACGACCUACGGGUGAAAGCAGUGGAUCUUCGGACCUUGCGCGAUUGAAUGAGCCGAUGUCGGAUUAGCUAGUUGGCGGGGUAAAGGCCCACCAAGGCGACGAUCCGUAGCUGGUCUGAGAGGAUGAUCAGCCACACUGGAACUGAGACACGGUCCAGACUCCUACGGGAGGCAGCAGUGGGGAAUAUUGGACAAUGGGCGCAAGCCUGAUCCAGCCAUACCGCGUGGGUGAAGAAGGCCUUCGGGUUGUAAAGCCCUUUUGUUGGGAAAGAAAAGCAGCAGGUUAAUCCACCGCUGUUCUGACGGUACCCAAAGAAUAAGCACCGGCUAACUUCGUG